ACCUGAGACCGCCACGGUGACAUGCAAGCAACUCACUGCACUUAGGCACUGGACUACCUAAAUUUCUAAUUCAGUGACGGAAGGCUGCUGGGUAUAGUCAAGUACUUGACUUGUCAGUGCGUGUGUCAAGAUGGGAUUGACCACUCCAGUUUAGGAGCUGUGUACAGUCAUGUUUCAAUUUAGCAAAAUCUUGACCAGGGUAGUCUUUGUGAGGAGUCACAAGACUGUUUGAGUUAAGUACGAUUUGGAUGAUCUAAUCAGGGUGGAUAGUUUAACCCUGAGUCAUCCU
rnacentral:lncRNA from 1 species